UUGCUUUGGCAGCACAUAUACUAAAAUUGUAAUGAUACAGAGAAGAUUAACCCCUGCGCAAGGAUGACAUGCAAAUUCAUGAAGUAUUCCAUAAUUUU
rnacentral:snRNA from 1 species